rfam:Ovis aries breed Texel chromosome 12, whole genome shotgun sequence.
UCCCUGGUGGUCCAGUGGCUAACACACUGCACUCUCAGUGCAGGAAGCCCGGGUUCUAUCCCUGGUCAGGGAA